GUGUCAGCAGCCGCGGUAAUACGGAGGAUGCAAGCGUUAUCCGGAAUCAUUGGGCGUAAAGGGUGCGUAGGCGGGCUGCUAAGUCUGGGGUGAAAUCCUGCCGCUUAACGGUAGAAUGGCCCCCGAUACUGGCAGUCUUGAGUACAGAAGAGGUCGGUGGAAUUCGUAGUGUAGCGGUGAAAUGCGUAGAUAUUACGAAGAACACCAGUGGCGAAGGCGGCCGGCUGGUCUGUAACUGACGCUGAGGCACGAAAGCGUGGGGAGCGAACAGGAUUAGAUACCCUGGUAGUCCACGCUGUAAACGAUGUAUGCUAGGUGUCGGCCUUUCGGGGUCGGUGCUGCAGUUAACGCAGUAAGCAUACCACCUGGGGAGUACGUCGGCAACGAUGAAACUCAAAGGAAUUGGCGGGG
rnacentral:rRNA from 1 species